UACGGGGGGAGCAAGCGUUGUUCGGAUUUACUGGGCGUAAAGGGCGCGUAGGCGGCGCAACAAGUCACUUGUGAAAUCUCCGGGCUUAACCCGGAGCGGCCAAGUGAUACUGUCGUGCUAGAGUGCGGAAGGGGCUACUGGAAUUCUCGGUGUAGCGGUGAAAUGCGUAGAUAUCUGGAGGAAUACCGGUGGCGAAGGCGGCAUCCUGGACCAUUACUGACGCUGAGGCGCGAAAGCUAGGGGAGCAAACAGG
rnacentral:rRNA from 1 species